AGAAUCUGGCCUCUAAGGUCCUUAUGAAGGUGUACUCCUUAAGAACGCAAGCAGCAAUGCCACUUCCAUCUUGAGGAAGUGUAAUGAGGGAACCAGCAAUGCUGGUUUCAGUGUCUCAGUUUGGCUGGAAAGGAUUUAAUCCUGACGCUGCAACAUUAACUUUCUGAGCAUAUGCUCUGUCCCCGGGGAAGACGACAGUCAAGGGAAUCUUGAACUUCUUGGAAAAUAAGAAAAUUAAGGGCUUCUUUUAAAAGGUGCAAGGUGGAAAUGCACUUCCCAUCUCCUUUGAAGUUAGACCAGGCCACACGAUUUGCUCUAGACAAAGAGUUGUGAGCACCAGUGACAAGUGUCAUCCAGGCAUGGGAGUGGCAUAGUGAGAUCCUGGCAGGAGCACUGUUCACAAUAGCAAAGACUUGGAAUCAACCCAGAUGCCCAUCAUUGAUAGACUGGAUAAAGAAAAUGUGGUCCAUAUAUAUCAUGGAAUACUAUGCAACCAUAAAAAGGAACAAGACCAUAUCCUUUGCAGGGACAUGGAUGAAGCUGGAAACCGUUAUCCUCAGCAAACUAAUGCAGGAACAGAAAACCAAACACUGCCUGUUCUCACUUAUAAGUGGGAGCUGAAUGAUGAGCACACAUGGACACAUGGGGGAACAACACACACUGGGGCCUGCUGGGGGGUUGUGGGGAGGGAGAGC
rnacentral:lncRNA from 1 species